rnacentral:rRNA from 1 species
AGUGGCGGACGGGUGAGUAACGCGUGGGAACGUGCCCUUUGGUUCGGAACAACACAGGGAAACUUGUGCUAAUACCGGAUGAGCCCUUCGGGGGAAAGAUUUAUCGCCAUUGGAGCGGCCCGCGUUGGAUUAGGUAGUUGGUGGGGUAAAGGCCCACCAAGCCGACGAUCCAUAGCUGGUCUGAGAGGAUGAUCAGCCACACUGGGACUGAGACACGGCCCAGACUCCUACGGGAGGCAGCAGUGGGGAAUCUUGCGCAAUGGGCGAAAGCCUGACGCAGCCAUGCCGCGCGAAUGAUGAAGGUCUUAGGAUUGUAAAAUUCUUUCACCGGGGAAGAUAAUGACGGUACCCGGAGAAGAAGCCCCGGCUAACUUCGUGCCAGCAGCCGCGGUAAUACGAAGGGGGCUAGCGUUGCUCGGAAUUACUGGGCGUAAAGGGCGCGUAGGCGGACAGUUUAGUCAGAGGUAAAAGCCCAGGGCUCAACCUUGGAACUGCCUUUGAUACUGGCUGUCUUGAGUUCGGGAGAGGUGAGUGGAAUGCCGAGUGUAGAGGUGAAAUUCGUAGAUAUUCGGCGGAACACCAGUGGCGGAGGCGACUCACUGGCCCGAUACUGACGCUGAGGCGCGAAAGC